CUCUCUCUCUCCCUCUCUCUUUCUUUGUCCCUCUCUUUCUGCUGAUCUUUCUCCCGGUUCUUACCCUGGAAUAGAGAGACAAAUGAAUUCAUAUCAAAUCGGGACAUAUAAGACAUGCAAGCAAACGUGGUGGGACUUACUCGUUGGAGAGGAAUUCAUACCAGAUCCCAGUCCUUCUGUUUCAUCGUUUUCCUCUGAGACAGAGACAAAACAAAGUGUUGAGGACAUCACAGCAUGCAGCGAACAGUCCAAAUGCAACAUGAAGGUGCUGCUGUGCAAACCAAGCAGGAAAUGUACUGGAUUUGAUCUGCUAGAAGAACUG